GUCAAUCAAAUAAAAAUCUUCACAUAUAAAACUAUACAUUAAUUUUCGUUUCCCAGUGUCUUUAUCGCACCUUGCGCUUUCUGAAAUAGCCAUAAUUACAAGACCCGCAAGGACAGCAAUAAACCAAACAAAACUAUUUAUUGAAAAUAAAAACAAGAGAGCUCACCACAAAAAAAAAAAACCAAAAACUUCAUCCAACUUCAACGACUCUGACUCGACACUUGAUUGCAAUCAGAAACUGACAAGUCCCAGCAUAAAUGAAAUAAAUCUAGAGCUAAAGGCAACCAAACUCCAUACGUACUCCGUGGUAUUUUUCUUAGCCCAAUACAAUCCCUCUCCGAAACCCGCCCCGCCCAAAAACCCAUCAGCCAUCAACACUACCGAAUAGAAUUCAUUAGGAAAUUAAAACUGAAGAAAACAAAAUAAUAACAAAGUAAAACAACACAGAAAGGCACAAAAAAAGAAACAGGCAAAAGUGGUGAAUUGUUGCUAAAAAAAAAUUCCAGUCGGUACGAAGCAGUAUUUUAAAUGAUAUAUACGAGCUAAGUGUAAUAAAGAGAUAUUUACAAGAAAAGAUCCUGUUGAGAAAUACACGAUAGAAUUGCAAAUUUUAUAGCAAUUUAUGAAUCAAAAUAUAUAUUUGGAUUUUCUGCUGUUAAUUUUGAGCGUAAUUUAAAAGGGAAUUUAAACUCCAUAUAAAGGUGGCCGGAAAUCAAUUAACAAAGCCGACUACAGAAAAAAUCAGCACGAACAAGAAAUCGGAAAAGGUGAUAGGCAAAUAAGUCGAAGGAAACGACGAUAGAAAAGUGAAAGAAUGAAAGGUUGUUAAAUUGAAAAUUAAGUAUAAAUAUUUACAAGGAGCAUAAAAAAUCCGUUUAAUAGCUACAUAUCAGCAUCAAAGGACGGCAAACAAACAAUUAAAAAGCAUUUGAAAGAAUUUUCAAAGAAAAGGGAGAAAUCAAACAGAAAUA
rnacentral:sRNA from 1 species